CAGAAUGCCACAGCUUAAAAUCAUUAUAAAGAUAGCAUUAAGACAAUUAAACAAAUUACUUGGAAUCAAGAGUACUUAAAAUCUAUCUUUAACCUGAAUAAAAGGUACCAGAGGACAACCUCAGAAAUUAAGGGAAAUUACAGAAAAGUGUUACAACAUGAGUAUAACAAAACAAGCCAAAGGACAGAGAAGAG